CGUCUAUAUACGUAUAGCAUAUCAAUAAGCGGAGGAAAAGAAACUAACAAGGAUUCCCUUAGUAACGGCGAGUGAAGCGGGAAGAGCUCAAAUUUGAAAUCUUCAAGGUUCUACCUUGACGAAUUGUAGUUUAAAGAAGUGUUUUCUGUUAGAGGAGUGGCAAAAGUUCUUUGGAAUAGGACAUCAUAGAGGGUGAGAAUCCCGUAUUUGGUCAUUCUUUCUAGCUGUGUGAUACACUUUCAAAGAGUCGGAUUGUUUGGGAAUGCAGUCCAAAAUGGGUGGUAAAUUUCAUCUAAAGCUAAAUAUUGGCGAGAGACCGAUAGCGAACAAGUACCGUGAGGGAAAGAUGAAAAGAACUUUGAAAAGAGAGUUAAACAGUACGUGAAAUUGUCAAAAGGGAAGCGUUUGACACCAGUGUUGUUUUUCCGAAAAUCAAUUAAGAGUGGCUUGAUUUUGUGUUGUAUUGACCUUAUCAGCUUUCUUCACUCUUUUUCGAGUCUUUCUUAAUGCACUUUUCGGUUAACAAGUCAACAUCAAUUUCUUUUGUUGUAAAAGGGUAUUUGGAAGGUGGCUUUCUUUUCGGAGAAAGUGUUUAUAGCCUUAUACCUCUACAAUCGGAGAGAUUGAGGUCUGCAGCGUAGAUCCUUCGGGGCUAGAUACACUUGUGCUAAGUUAUAGCUUUUCAUAGACAACUUGUUGACUAUGUUUAGUCAUGUAGCUUACUCGCUUCGCUGCUAUUUUACCUACGCUUAGGAUGUUGAGUCAUCACACAUCUCU
rnacentral:rRNA from 1 species